AUAUAUGGCAGUUUUUCCUCUCUAAAACAGCAUUAAUAGCUUCCUUUAUAGUAACACCAAAUCUCUGAAGCAUGGAUUACUCUGAGCCUUGUACUGGUUAUCAAAUUACUAUUCUUGAUAUGUUGAUUUUCAAUCAAGUUGCUGCUUUUAAUGUGUAAUAAGAAUAAUAGUGUAUGUAAAGUGUACAUAAUAAUGUAAGAUCAUUAUUAUUUGUAACACAAACUUGUCUAGGUUCACCUGCAGCAAGAUGAGUAGAAUAGUACAUACAACACUUACACAUGUAGAAUUACUGAAGUCAAAGUGGUUAGAGUGACACACGCAUGCAACCAUUGUAACACAUGCAUAGUAUGUGUAACUAACCAUAUGUAAAAUAAAUGUAUAGGAUCACUUAGAAAAGGUUGGCACUUAUUUAUAUCAUAAUGUUAUGGAAACCACAGUUAAGUCAAAUGGAUCUAGAACAUAAUAGGAAAGUUAACUAAAAAUAUGGAAUUAUUACAAAGACAUUUUUUCAUUUAUAUUUUAAAGAUAGGGUGACCACCUUUUACUUGAAUAAUUCAGAGAAAAAUAGGAAAACAAAUAUAUCUUUACAAGACUUCUAGCAUUUACUGCUAAGAUAGGAUACUAACAUUUUAAUCAUGGGGGAUUAUCAUAUCUGUAUCAAUGUGUCAGGAGUGUAUGUUUGAGGGUCACAAGAUUCUGACAUCGUGUCAGUGUUUUUGUCCAAAUCAGUUUGGUUUUUCACUUGUUUUCAAAUUAAGAGAGUAUGCUACUAUGAUACUUGGCUAUUUUGUUUUUCAGGUGGGACUAAAUAAUUUCAUACAGAAUUUAGGGAUAGACUGUAAAAUUCUCAGAGUAACAGACUGUCCCACCUAAAUUUGGAAUGGAAGGUUACUGUAUUUAAGAAUUACCCACUGGAGUAAAACAAAAUUUCAUCAGGGACACUUUAAAAAACACAAGUUUUAUUCAGGAAAAUGUAGACAUGAUACAGGAUGUUUCAAAACCAUAUUAUGUUGCAUACUUGUAUAACAUUUUUUACAAAUUAGUAUUAUUUUUAUUUCCCUCUCUUUAUUAACCAAUAUGAAAUUGGUGACUUUAAUAAAAUGUCUGUGAGCUAGUACUCACAGUAGCUUCAUUUAGGGACAGGUUUUAUAUUAUUAUUAGAAAUGAUGGAAAUGCAUAUUGAACAGCCUCAGUCACAGUUUUUCAAAACCCUUUAGAAUGUCCAAAUUAUUGUGAAUAAAAUACAUAAUUUUCAAUGUGCCUUUCAUAAAAUUUAGUUCCCAUAUAUGAUAAUUACUUUUUAAAGUUAUAAUCAUUUACACUCACCCUGUGUUUUCAGUACUGCAAGUGCUCCCAAACCUGCAAAAGUCAAGAAAUUUCAAAAGGAGUUGGAAAGUCUGGAAAAAUUGAAAUGUUCUCCCAAAACUUGGAAAAAAACUAGGGGAAGUUAUAGAACCCCCUUCUUUCUUUUUAAAUCUCAGGACCUGUCCAUGUACUCAAACCAUGAUGCUUAUCUAUUUCAACAUAAUCUUGGUCAGUCAUUUUGUGUUAUUUUGUCUGGUGAUAAAAUACCAAAUUCAUUAUACUCAUAAGUCACUGGGGGAAAUUUGGAAAAAGUGUGCAUGGCCACCCUGUGUUCAUGAAGAAUGACUUCAUUAUUAUUUAUAGUGUUGAAGGUAAAGACUGAAUUCAUGUCUGAUAAGGAACCAGGAGAUUUGCUCAAACUGGAGAAAAUAAGAAAUCAAUGAAGUAUCACCUUUUUAAUAGAAAAUUGUGGUACCAAAAAUAAAAUUCAUGUAUAUACAGUUUUCAAGGAGGAUCAAUCUGUGUUUAAUUAUGAAGAAACAUUACAUAGAUCCUGUAAGUACAUGAACAUUUGGUUUAAAACAGUUGAAGAUAAUGAUUCUCCAGAGAAAGUGUGGUGUUAUUGAUGAAUAUGAGACUAAUAAGCCAGAUGAGAGAGGAUCCAGUGAUUGAAAACAAAGUUCUUUAAGAAUUCAACUUUAUUAGCACAUAAUACAAUUUUAAGUUCAUAUUUUAUGUUUGGGUUGUGUUUGGAAAUCAUGUUCAUCUAGCAACUUUAUUUUAGCAUAUUUUCCUUAGUAUUUCUGUCUGUGUUAUUUAAGUCUAAAAAGUGGUGACAAGAUUUGAAAAUAAGUAAUAAUAAUCAGAAAAGUAAUUAAUUGAUUCUUAGCUCUUGUCACACAAAUACUGUUUAUUACAAGAUGCAAGAUCCAAAACACUUUGUCUAGAACAACGUUUACUUGACUCAGCUUUAAAGAGUAUAGUCCUAACAACCAGUU